rnacentral:rRNA from 1 species
UACGUAGGGAGCGAGCGUUGUCCGGAUUUAUUGGGCGUAAAGGGCGUGUAGGCGGCUUGUUAAGUCUGGAGUGAAAAUCCGGGGCUCAACCCCCGGAACUGCUUCGGAUACUGGCGAGCUUGAGUGCUCUAGAGGGCAGUGGAAUUCCCGGUGUAGCAGUGAAAUGCGUAGAGAUCGGGAGGAACACCAGUGGCGAAGGCGGCUUACUGGUCCGGUUCUGACGCUGAGGCGCGAAAGCGUGGGGAGCAAACAGG